rnacentral:lncRNA from 1 species
CCAGCUUGAUGUAUGUUAUGUUGACCCAGCUAGAGUUUUGAUGAGGGCUCUAGUAGGGGGUUUUUUUAUGUUUUCAGUUAUGUCGCAUACAAGUCAGGCUCGGUAUGUACAUCAGAUGUUUAAGUUUUUAUGUUAAAGUUUUGAUCAUGUAUGGGAUUUGACCAGGUGAUAGGAUGUAUGUUUGGCUUGCUACGGGUCCCGGCGGCCUUAAGCCGAUCUGGAUCCUAGCGCCGGUGGCGGUUCGGGCCGUUACAGAGGGGUAUCGGUUUCUGGGUCGUUACAGAGUGGUAUCAGAGCUUUGGGCCUCGAGAGUACGGUGUGUUGCGCAUCGGAAAGAGGUUGGCUUAGAGGUCAUAG